rnacentral:rRNA from 1 species
UAUCGGAACGUGCCCUGGAGUGGGGGAUAACUAGUUGAAAGACUAGCUAAUACCGCAUACGAUCUACGGAUGAAAGUGGGGGAUCGCAAGACCUCAUGCUCGUGGAGCGGCCGAUAUCUGAUUAGCUAGUUGGUGGGGUAAAGGCCUACCAAGGCAUCGAUCAGUAGCUGGUCUGAGAGGACGACCAGCCACACUGGGACUGAGACACGGCCCAG